CGGUCCAAACUCCUACGGGAGGCAGCAGUGGGGAAUAUUGCACAAUGGGCGAAAGCCUGAUGCAGCAACGCCGCGGGAGUGAUGAAGGCCUUCGGGUCGUAAAACGCUGUCCUCAAGGAAGAUAAUGCCGGUACUUGAGGAGGAAGCCCCGGCUAACUACGUGCCAGCAGCCGCGGUAAGACGUAGGGGGCUAGCGUUAUCCGGAUUUACUGGGCGUAAAGGGGGCGUAGGCGGUCUUUCAAGUCAGGAGUGAAA
rnacentral:rRNA from 1 species